ACCCCUGUACUUUCUUGAAAUUACAUUUCAACCCCUAAACUUUUCUAAAUUACAUUUUGACCCCUAAACUUUCUCAAAAUUACAUUUCAACCCCUAAACUUUCUCUAAAUUACGUUUUGGCCCCAAAAAUUUUGCUGUAUUUACAUUUUGGUCCCUCUGACAGCAAUCAGCCCAACUUGCGCCUGCAACGGCGGCGGCCGACCUACCUCUCCCUAGCCCACUUGCUACCUGCAAAAAGAAAGAGAAAUCAGCUAUAAAAAGGGGUUUAAACCCCAAAAUCAAGGGGGGGUUCUCAACACAAAAAAAAAGGAAGAAAAAACAGCAAAAGAAACCAAAAAAAUCAAAAUAGCAGCAAGCAAAAGUCACCGCCGUCGCACCAACGCCACCGUGCCCACCGUCGUUCAACACCUACAACUCAAACAAGCAAAGCAACAAGCAAAAAAGGAGAAAAUAAAAACAGCAACUGAAAACAAAAAAAAGAGAAAAGAAGAGAAGAAGAAAGAAGAAGAGAAGAGGAGACGCCGGAUACCGUCGCAUCGGGCGGAGGAAGCGGAGACGGCGAGGAAGAGCAAGGUCGAAGGGAAGAAGGAAGAAGAAGGAAAGGAAAAAGAGAGGAAAAAAGGAAAGAAGAAAGAAAGAAGAAAGGGAAAGAAAAAAAAAUUACAACAGCUGGGCCAACCCGACCCGACGACCCGGGUCCGACCCGAAUAGUAGACCCGACCCGUGCUGCCAGCAGGCCACACCACCAGCAACAGCAGGCCUGCUCCAAGAAAAAAACCAAAAAAGAAACAGCAAAAAAAACAAUAGGCCAGCAACUAGAAAAACAAAGCAGGCCCAAACCAAGACCAGUGCAGCCCAAUCCAGCAGCAGAUUCAACCCAACAAGAAUCAGGCCACCCCAAGCCAGCACCAGCAGCCCAGGCCCGCGCGCCAGCCCAG
rnacentral:lncRNA from 1 species